AGUGAACGCUGGCGGUAGGCCUAACACAUGCCAGUCGAACGGCAGCACAGUAAGAGCUUGCUCUUACGGGUGGCGAGUGGCGGACGGGUGAGGAAUACAUCGGAAUCUACUUUUUCGUGGGGGAUAACGUAGGGAAACUUACGCUAAUACCGCAUACGACCUACGGGUGAAAGCAGGGGAUCUUCGGACCUUGCGCGAUUGAAUGAGCCGAUGUCGGAUUAGCUAGUUGGCGGGGUAAAGGCCCACCAAGGCGACGAUCCGUAGCUGGUCUGAGAGGAUGAUCCGCCACACUGGAGGUGAGACACGGUCCAGGCUCCUACGGGCGGCAGCAGUGGGGAAUAUUGGACAAUGUGCGCAAGCCUGAUCCAGCCAUGCCGCGUGGGUGAAGAAGGCCUUCGGGUUGUAAAGCCCUUUUGUUGGGAAAGAAAGGCAGCAGGUUAAUACCCCGCUGUUCUGACGGUACCCAAAGAAUAAGCACCGGCUAACUUCGU
rnacentral:rRNA from 1 species